rfam:Gossypium arboreum cultivar AKA8401 contig_36295_3, whole genome shotgun sequence.
UGUUACAUAUUUCAUCAAUUUGUACUAUUAAAAACAAGUAUGGAUAAUAAAAUAACCAAAUAAUAACACGUGACAUGUCACGUUGACGUAGAGGGACUAAUUUUUAACAGUAAAAAUAGAUGCAAUUUUUAACA